rnacentral:rRNA from 1 species
GAGGUUUUGUAGUCCUCGGACUCACGGAUCGAACGACUGGCGGCGUGCUAACACAUGCAAGUCAACGGAACUCAUACUGAACUAGUGAUUAUGAGUAGUGGCGGACGGGUGAGUAACGCGUGAUAACCUGCCGUAUACCGGGGGAUAACACUUAGAAAUAGGUGCUAAUACCGCAUGAGCGCACAGCUCCGCAUGGGGCGGUGUGAAAAACUCCGGUGGUAUACGAUGGAUCCGCGUCUGAUUAGCCAGUUGGCGGGGUAACGGCCCACCAAAGCGACGAUCAGUAGCCGGCCUGAGAGGGUGAACGGCCACAUUGGGACUGAGACACGGCCCAGACUCCUACGGGAGGCAGCAGUGGGGGAUAUUGCACAAUGGGGGAAACCCUGAUGCAGCGACGCCGCGUGAGUGAAGAAGUAUCUCGGUAUGUAAAGCUCUAUCAGCAGGAAAGAUAAUGACGGUACCUGACUAAGAAGCCCCGGCUAACUACGUG